rnacentral:rRNA from 1 species
AGAGUUUGAUCAUGGCUCAGAACGAACGCUGGCGGCGUGCUUAACACAUGCAAGUCGAGUGCGCGGUUGUAGCAAUACAACUGGCGCACGGCGCACGGGUGCGUAACACGUGGGUAACCUGCCCUUUGGUGGGGAAUAACUCCGCGAAAGCGGAGCUAAUUCCGCAUAAGAUCCGCAAGGAUGAAAGCCGCAAGGCGCCGAAGGAGGGGCCCGCGCCCGAUUAGCUAGUUGGUGAGGUAAUGGCUCACCAAGGCAUUGAUCGGUAGCUGGUCUGAGAGGAUGAUCAGCCACACUGGAACUGAGACACGGUCCAGACUCCUACGGGAGGCAGCAGUGGGGAAUCUUGCACAAUGGGCGAAAGCCUGAUGCAGCGACGCCGCGUGGGGGAUGAAGCAUUUCGGUGUGUAAACCCCUUUCGAUCCGGACGAAAACCCCGCAAGGGAUUGACGGUACGGAUAUAAGAAGCCCCGGCUAACUACGUGCCAGCAGCCGCGGUAAGACGUAGGGGGCCAGCGUUGUUCGGAAUUACUGGGUGUAAAGGGUUCGUAGGCGGUGUAGCAAGUCGGGAGUGAAAUCUUUGGGCUUAACCCAGAGGCUGCUUCCGAAACUGCUGUGCUUGAGUGUGGGAGAGGCGCGUGGAAUUGCAGGUGUAGCGGUGAAAUGCGUAGAUAUCUGCAGGAACACCCGUGGCGAAAGCGGCGCGCUGGACCACUACUGACGCUGAGGAACGAAAGCUAGGGGAGCAAACAGGAUUAGAUACCCUAGUAGUCC